GAUGAACGCUGGCGGCGUGCCUAAUACAUGCAAGUCGAGCGAACAGACGAGAGUGCUUGCACUCUCUGACGUUAGCGGCGGACGGGUGAGUAACACGUGGGUAACCUACCUAUAAGACUGGGAUAACUUCGGGAAACCGGAGCUAAUACCGGAUAAUAUUUAGCUUCGCAUGAAGCAAUAGUGAAAGACGGUUCUGCUGUCACUUAUAGAUGGACCCGCGGUGUAUUAGCUAGUUGGUGAGGUAACGGCUCACCAAGGCAACGAUACGUAGCCGACCUGAGAGGGUGAUCGGCCACACUGGGACUGAGACACGGCCCAGACUCCUACGGGAGGCAGCAGUAGGGAAUCUUCCGCAAUGGACGAAAGUCUGACGGAGCAAUGCCGCGUGAGUGAAGAAGGUUUUCGGAUCGUAAAACUCUGUUGUAAGGGAAGAACAAGUACGUUAGUAACUGAACGUACCUUGACGGUACCUUACCAGAAAGCCACGGCUAACUACGUG
rnacentral:rRNA from 1 species